UACAGAGGGGGCAAGCGUUGUCCGGAAUUAUUGGGCGUAAAGAGCUUGUAGGCGGUCUGUCGCGUCUGCUGUGAAAAUCCGGGGCUCAACCCCGGACUUGCAGUGGGUACGGGCAGACUAGAGUGUGGUAGGGGAGACUGGAAUUCCUGGUGUAGCGGUGAAAUGCGCAGAUAUCAGGAGGAACACCGAUGGCGAAGGCAGGUCUCUGGGCCAUAACUGACGCUGAGGAGCGAAAGCAUGGGGAGCGAACAGG
rnacentral:rRNA from 1 species